CUUGAGGAGUCCGCCAUAACAAAGAAAGAAAAAAAGGGAGAAAGAAAGAAAGGAAGAAAGGAGGAAGAAGAAAAAAGAAAGGAAAGAUCGGUUUGGGGAACCCAAAGCAAGGAUCUACAAGGAUUCAAGGGACCCAAGGCAUGCAUGUAGGUAGAUCUUGGAAUGCAUGGUGAUUUUAGAGCUAAAUAAGUAAUGGCAAAGGUGACCAUAGAUAUGAGGGAGUUGUGAAUUAUAUUUGAAAAGUCAAGCUUAAACCGAGAGAUAAGUAAUUAGCUCAGGUGCCUUGCUCAGCACAUCGAGACUUACUGCAAUAUAGGUAAUGGCAUCACUUAGCCUUCCACUCCGAGUUGCUCUACUACCUAGAGGUCGUGUUGUGUCAAGUAGAUAAACUCAUAAUGACUAACAGAUUGUGGAAAUCUAAUUGCUUAAACUUGAGGUUGUGUUA